rnacentral:rRNA from 1 species
GACGAACGCUGGCGGCGUGCUUAACACAUGCAAGUCGAACGGAAAGGCCCUGCUUUUGUGGGGUGCUCGAGUGGCGAACGGGUGAGUAACACGUGAGUAACCUGCCCUUGACUUUGGGAUAACUUCAGGAAACUGGGGCUAAUACCGGAUAGGAGCUCCUGCUGCAUGGUGGGGGUUGGAAAGUUUCGGCGGUUGGGGAUGGACUCGCGGCUUAUCAGCUUGUUGGUGGGGUAGUGGCUUACCAAGGCUUUGACGGGUAGCCGGCCUGAGAGGGUGACCGGCCACAUUGGGACUGAGAUACGGCCCAGACUCCUACGGGAGGCAGCAGUGGGGAAUAUUGCACAAUGGGCGGAAGCCUGAUGCAGCAACGCCGCGUGCGGGAUGACGGCCUUCGGGUUGUAAACCGCUUUCGCCUGUGACGAAGCGUGAGUGACGGUAAUGGGUAAAGAAGCACCGGCUAACUACGUGCCAGCAGCCGCGGUGAUACGUAGGGUGCGAGCGUUGUCCGGAUUUAUUGGGCGUAAGGGGCUCGUAGGUGGUUGAUCGCGUCGGAAGUGUAAUCUUGGGGCUUAACCCUGAGCGUGCUUUCGAUACGGGUUGACUUGAGGAAGGUAGGGGAGAAUGGAAUUCCUGGUGGAGCGGUGGAAUGCGCAGAUAUCAGGAGGAACGCCAGUGGCGAAGGCGGUUCUCUGGGCCUUUCCUGACGCUGAGGAGCGAAAGCGUGGGGAGCGAACAGGCUUAGAUACCCUGGUAGUCCACGCUGUAAACGGUGGGUACUAGGUGUGGGGUCCAUUCCACGGGUUCCGUGCCGUAGCUAACGCUUUAAGUACCCCGCCUGGGGAGUACGGCCGCAAGGCUAAAACUCAAAGGAAUUGACGGGGCCCCGCACAAGCGGCGGAGCAUGCGGAUUAAUUCGAUGCAACGCGUAGAACCUUACCUGGGUUUGACAUGGAUCGGGAGUGCUCAGAGAUGGGUGUGCCUCUUUUGGGGUCGGUUCACAGGUGGUGCAUGCCUGUCGUCAGCUCGUGUCGUGAGAUGUUGUGUUAAGUCCCGCAACGAGCGCAACCCUUGUUCACUGUUGCCAGCACGUUAUGGUGGGGACUCAGUGGAGACCGCCGGGGUCAACUCGGAGGAAGGUGGGGGUGACGUCAAGUCCUCAUGCCCCUUAUGUCCAGGGCUUCACGCAUGCUACAAUGGCUGGUACAGAGAGUGGCGAGCCUGUGAGGGUGAGCGAAUCUCGGAAAGCCGGUCUCAGUUCGGAUUGGGGUCUGCAACUCGACCUCAUGAAGUCGGAGUCGCUAGUAAUCGCAGAUCAGCAACGCUGCGGUGAAUACGUUCCCGGGGCU